AUGCUAUCCUGGACAGCCUCAGACUGUUCCUGGCGACGGUACUUGAUGGCUUUCUUCGGGAUAACAAAUUUGGGCUAUCAAAAUCCCAUCGGAGACAAGAUGCUAGUGAAUCCACGAGCGUCUGCUUCCCACCGCGGUAAAAGCACGCCAGACUCCUUGACCUUUACAGAUGAGGUUGAUUUAAGCAACUGUACCAAACAGUCAAGACUGCCCCCUAUCCAAGUCCAGAGGGGACCCCCAAAAUGCACUGAUACCUGCAGCAUCUACAACCAGCCACCUCCCUUCAGCCCAGACAUACACCAGGGGAGCCAGGAGCGAUACAGAGAGAUGCUCAAACGGAUUCAGACACCCAGAUCCCCAAACCAGCUGUACUCAGUGCCCCUGACAGACAGCCAGCAGUAUGGAUGGUGGAUGCCCAAUGGAGGCCAACAGAAUACGCAGGAACGCUGGACCCAAGUCAGACGAUUCCCCCGCAAGAACAGUGAGAUGACCAAGUGAGUGUCAUGUCUGACUUUAGCUUCACGAUUUGUUUCUUGGAAGUCAGAUGUGCCAGUGGCCUUGUUCUCACUCUGCCUACUGCUUUUUCCUCAGGUUCGUGAAAGAGAUGUCAAUGACGGACCGGGAGUUCAGCUUAUUCUGAUUUCCUAUCCUGCAGUAAGAGACGCAUUCCCACGAUCCCAAGACCCUUGGGGCUAUUGAAAGGACUCUUGUGGUUUGAUAAACGGCCACUUUCGUCAUGGCAUGCUAUAUUUUUUGGAGCUACUGUAUCAUGUAGUCAGUUGACGUCUGCCUUUCAACUGGUACAGUUGAGCUGUUGCCUCCCUCCAGAGGAAUGAAAUGGUAAUUACCCACAAGGAAAGAAUAGGGAGUUUUGUUUCAGUAAUUAGCUACUGUCACUCAGUAAGAGCAUUCAGUAGACCUUAGAUCAUUCAGGAGACCUUGGGGACAGUAACUGAAUAUCUGGGAUCGGGUAUAUUGUUACGGAAUAGUGUCUAGCUGCCAAAUAUUUGAUAGUGUGUUUGUAUUUUUGGUAAAGAUUGUAUUUUGCAUCAUUUCAAUACAUCAACCAAAGCAAUACAAUGAUAACUAAACAUUUUCCUUGUGUUACCUUUAAAACUUUUUUCUACAUCAGCUAACAUUACAGUACCAUUAUUAGGACAUAUGCGGUCAAAGGAAUAUCCAGAUAUGUUUUUUUGAUGUUACUGGAACGUUAUUAGGCACCAGUCAUUUUUUAAAACUUUCUGUCGGUACACUUUUGGCAGCAUAACAGGCCUUCAGACAUUCAUGAUCUUUGCCCUAUCCUAACACCUCCCUCGCCUGGUAGGAUCCUUCCCUUUUCUCUCGUAUGCAGUGUGCUUUAACUUGCUAGUCCCUUUCCGAUAUGCACGUGUAAUUGUAAUGAUCUGGGAGAGAGCCACUCUGCCCGAGGAGCGACGCUGUUUCCGAUUACAGGGUCAUUGAGUGAGUCAGUCAACCCACGCACCCAUCUCAAUGGUGGCCUUUAACAAUUCAGAGGAUGUGGCUGUAGCUACCAAGUUCCUGUAUGUUUGGCACUGCAACUCCUUCAUGACAGUGCAUGGAGGAACAAAGCUACGAAUCCUCUCCUGUAUGAAAGUUUGUGGGUAUCAGUGGCUGCUUGCUCUCAACAUCCUCUAAGGCUUUCAUUGGUCAACAUCUGCUCAAUGACAAUCAGCCAAUGGUAAUCACAGUUUUUACAGCAGGUAAAGAAAGCUGCACUAAUACCGCAUACAACUAAUCAAAAACAGCCAUUGAUUUUAGAUUUUUUUUUAUUCAAGGGGAAAUGUUAUUUUUCUCUUUGUCAAAGUCCCCAACUCUUGUCCUUCAACUCAGGGGUAGAAAACAAACUAACAAAAAGGAAAGGGUUCGAAAAGGGUUCAUUAGGCCUGAACAAAACACUGUUUCAGUAGCACUGACAACCCUCUUCCUCCCCUGUCCCCUAAAAACAUCCCAAGUGUCAAGAAUCAACCUCCACCCAACCCAAAGACAGGACAGCCCAUAGAAAUAGAAUGGACACAACGUGCAUCAUCUUACUUACCACAUCCAUUCUAUGUAUUAUAUUUCUAUGUGAAUCACUCUUAGUUUGUCACCUAUGUCAUUUAUCGAUCCCAUGACCUUUACUGUUGCCUGGCAGUCCCACACGCUCAAGGCCAAAUAUCACUGCACUGGGAGGGACCAAUAGCAUGAGGCAGUAUUAGCUUGCUUUGGUACGAACAUGAUCAACUGUUACUGUAGUUGCCAUAGUUAAGUAUGGUAGAGAGAGGAACGAUGACUGGGGUGUUUUGAGGAUGUUAUGGGGAAACGUAAAGUCAAAAUGAACUCAGUGUUGUGUCCAUGCUAAGGUCAAUAAAUGAUUUAGAUUAGCUUUCACAGGCUCUCUCUCUCUACCCUUCCCUCUCUAUGUAUAACAUACUGUGAAACUCAGAUGUGGCAAUCAGGCACAGUUCCUGCUCACACUGUAUUCUCCAGUGGCUUGUUCAAUUAAGCUAGAGUUCAAGUAGGAAAUACUGCUCACACUGCUGAUUGUGUCCUGCCUCUCUGCCCUGAAGUCCGAUAGGAAGGGGAUCAGCUCUCCACCUGACUGAGUCGAGUCUUGAAGUAGUGUUUGCGCAAUAAAAAGGUACAGUGUAUAAUUAGUUUAUCUGCGUGUAAACACUUCAGUCCUUCGCGAUUUGGGGAAUAUGCACCACUUGGGGUUUGAUGCAAAAGGGACAGCUACUGGGUACGUGUCAGCAGGUCUAGAGCCAGUGUUUGAAUACUGUAGGGUGGUGAGGGAAAGCGCUGAGUGAGUUGGCUGCAGUUGAUCAGUUGGUACCAAUGAGCUUGAGCUUACAUCUGGCAUUUUAACAGAAAGCGUUCUGCUCUUUGAUCCUUAUCGUUGGAAUGGAAAUAUCAUAAUGAGCAUAAUAAUGAAUCAUAAUUCUAAUCAUAAUAAUAACAGCCAUAAGAAUAACGCAAAUGAUGAAUACAGAGGUGAUACAAGAUACCCAACGUUAAAACAGAAUGAAAAAUGAAAAGAGGAUAAUACAAUCAGACAUGCUUUAGAGAAGUUAAGUUUGGCAAGAAAGCAGUUUGUCCCAUUAUUAAAACCUCACAGUGAAAAUAGUUAUGGGCCUUCAAGAUGACAAAGCACAGUAAUCAUUAUUUUCCUCGUCAAUCUACACACAAUACCCCAUAAUGACAAAGCACAUACAGGUUUUAUAUAUAUAUUUUAAAUGUAUUACUUUUUUUUUUUUUACGAUCACAUUCACAUAAAUAUUCAGACCCUUUACUCUGUACUUUGUUGAAGCACCUUUGGCAGCGAUUACAUCCUUGAGUCUUCUUUGGUAUGACGCUACAAGCUUGGCACACCUGUAUUUGAGGAGUUUCUCCCAUUCUUCUCUGCAGAUCCUCUCAAGCUCUGUCAGGUUGGAUGGGGAGCGUCACUGCACAGCUAUUUUCAGGUCUCUCCAGAGAUGUUUAAUCGGGUUCAAGUCCAGGCUCUGGCUGGGCCACUCAAGAACAUUCAGAGACUUGUCCCGAAGCCACUCCUGCGUUGUCUUGGCUGUGUUCUUAGGGUCGUUGUCCUGUUGGAAGGUGAACCUUCACCCCAGUCUGAGGUCCUGAGCACUCUGGAGCAGGUUUUCAGUCAAGGAUCUCUCUGUACUUUGCUCCGUUCAUCUUUCCCUCGAUCCUGACUAGUCUCCCAGUCCCUGCCGCUGAAAAACAGGUGGACUCCAAUCAAGUUUGAGUCUAUAGCGAAGGGUCUGAAUACUUAUGUAAAUAAGCUAUUUCUGUUUUUUCUAAUUACGAAAAUUUGCCAUUAUAGGGGAUUGUGUGUAGAUUGAUGAGGAUUUUUAUGUAUUUAAUACAUUUUAGAAUAAGGCUGUAAUGUAACAAAAUGUGGGAAAAGUGAAGGAGUCCGAAUAGUUUCUGAAUGCAUUGUAUAUAUGCACCAGUGCAUAUAAUGCCCAGGUUUUCCCCUCGAUGGUUCUGGGGCAUCUUUUUUAGUUUUGAGUCCUUUCAUUUCCAUUUGCACAGAAAACAUACCUCAUUGAAAGGGACAGCGCAGUUGACCGUAUAUGCCUUUAUGGCCAUGACGUAUACAGCUGUGCCUUGGAUGCUCAAGCUCUGAGCUGUUAUAGCUGGACUGAGCCAUGGGGCGGGGAACCAAUCUGACAAGGGUUUAGGAGGAGGGGGACCAUCAUCCUGGGUGGAACUGCCAUUUCCUCUCAUUUUGUUGAACCUUCUCCCCCGGACUUAAAAAAAGGCUUCCAAGCCCCUAUUUACUAUUGAAUUACAUGUUUUAGAGAUGAGGCAGAGUAAUUCUACAGAUGUCAUCGAUGAUAAACUGUGUUUGACCUCAAAAUUAAAGUUGUUACACAUUUUGCCCAUACUGAGAAAUAGCCUUUGGCACUGAAGUACAAAGACUGAGGAUAUUGCCGUGCAAACAGAUUGAGUUAGUGAUAAUGGCAGACUUCCGCGAGAACAUAACAGACAAGUCUUGCCUUGUUUUUUUGUAAAUACUAUGGUCUUUGGUCAAUAUUUUCCUUUUCAAUUAUACACACACAAAUAUGCAUGUACAUACACACUUGUAAUAAACUGGAUAUUUGUGCACAUAUGUAUUCGCACUUUUUCAUAAAGGACUUUUUGCACAAAACAUCAAGAUUAAAAUAAAUAAGUAACCCAGAAAUAAAACAUGAGUACCUGUUUCAUAAUUAUCCCGAAAUAAAAAAUGACUGAAAAAAAAAUCACGCAUAAUGAAGAAAAUAAAAAAAGUAGCCUUAUGUACAGCUUUUUCCUUCAUUUGACACAGGCUAAAGGCGUUGUUUUAAAUAGACAAACUUUGCAACUUUCAAGUAGCCUGAGAGAGAGGCUAGACAUGAGAAAAACACUCAUCCUAACAAAACAUGGCUGCCACACAAGAACACUUUCCUUCUCAAAUCCUGGAGUCUCAUAGUCUUUUCUCUUUGCUCGGGUUUCAAGUGACGGCGUCGCUAGUUGUUAGCCGCUAGCUCGCGGUGCCAGUCCUCCCUCAAGAGUGCUGCCGUGUCCUUGCAGUGGGAAUGGUCCCGGCUAGCGCUGCCACGGCUGCUAACUAUUGGGCGGUCCGUCAUUCAGGAAGUAGGUCGUCAUUUCCCCUUUACCCUUGACCUUAACGACCCCACGACACUCCAGAACGUAUCCGAUAUCUGAAAGCACCUGGUGGAGGUCCGUGGUCACCUGAGGAGAGUGCGGGAAAAUGAAUAACAGAAACAAAAAAGUUGUUGGCUAAAAUACCAGGUGA
ensembl:lncRNA